rnacentral:rRNA from 1 species
GAUGAACGCUGGCGGCGUGCCUAAUACAUGCAAGUCGAGCGAACGGACGAGAAGCUUGCUUCUCUGAUAUUAGCGGCGGACGGGUGAGUAACACGUGGAUAACCUACCUAUAAGACUGGGAUAACUUCGGGAAACCGGAGCUAAUACCGGAUAAUAUUUUGAACCGCAUGGUUCAAAAGUGAAAGACGGUCUUGCUGUCACUUAUAGAUGGAUCCGCGCUGCAUUAGCUAGUUGGUAAGGUAACGGCUUACCAAGGCAACGAUGCAUAGCCGACCUGAGAGGGGGAUCGGCCACACUGGAACUGAGACACGGUCCAGACUCCUACGGGAGGCAGCAGUAGGGAAUCUUCCGCAAUGGGCGAAAGCCUGACGGAGCAACGCCGCGUGAGUGAUGAAGGUAUUCGGAUCGUAAAACUCUGUUAUUAGGGAAGAACAUAUGUGUAAGUAACUGUGCACAUCUUGACGGUACCUAAUCAGAAAGCCACGGCUAACUACGUG